rnacentral:lncRNA from 1 species
CAUUUUCCGUGACCACACACCAGUAAGAUCUAUAGGCAAUUUCAUCUCAAGAAGAAAUAGUAAACCAACAUUUUGCUGAUUUUUGAAAGUUCCAAUAUCUGAUAAUCUGCCCCGGCCUUGGAGGCCAUGGACGUUCCAAGAUAUAACCGACAUCUAUAACUUAAGAAUGGAAAGAUAUGCCAAGGGAGCUAGGCUUAGCUUCAUUAGCGAAUGGAGUGCCCUAGGGAUUCGUGUUGCCUUACGAGAAACCACUUUUUUGCCGCCAUGUGAUAAGAGAAGCUUCUUAUAGAAGUCGAUUUUUUGGUUUAAUCAUCCCAUCACCCGCAACCUGCUCCUGCAACUGUUUAGAAGAGG